rnacentral:tRNA from 1 species
GUGGGUAUAGCUCAAUGGCAGACUAUGUGUUUAGCAUGCUCAAGGCCCUGGGUUCAAUCCCUAGUACCUCCU